rnacentral:rRNA from 1 species
UCAAUGAAAUUUAAAUAGCCGCAAAUACACUUUGUGCUAAGGUAGCAUAAUCAUUUGUCUUUUAAUUAAAGACUAGAACAAAAGAUCCAACAUUUUUAUUUCUUUCUUAAUUAUAUAUAUAUUAAAUUUAUAUUAAAUAUAAAAAUAUAUUUAUAUUAUAAAAAGACGACAAGACCCUAUUGAACUUAACUAAAUGUUUAACUGGGGCAGUUAAUUAAAUAUAAUUUUAAUUCAAAACUUACAAAUACCUAAUACAAUUAAAAAAAUCAAGUUACCAUAGGGAUAACAGCGCAAUAAUUUUUCACAGAUCUUAUUAAAAAAAUAUCUUGCGACCUCGAUGUUGAAUUAAUAAUCUAUUAAAUGCAACAAUUUAAUAAGAAAGUC